GCAAAAAGUAACCAGAAUAUCCAGACGAUAGAGGACAUGGCUAAAUUUGUAGACAACUACCCAGAAUACCGAAAAAUGCAAGGGAAUGUUUCUAAGCACGUGACACUGGUUACGGAAAUGAGCAAAAUAGUUGAAGAGCGAAAACUGAUGUUGGUUUCACAGACGGAACAAGAGUUGGCUUGCAAUGGUGGACAAGGGGCAGCAUUCGAGGCUGUGACAAAUCUAUUGAAUAAUGAUAAUAUCUCUGAUGUUGACCGCCUGCGCCUUGUCAUGCUGUACGCCUUGCGCUAUGAGAAGGAGAGUCCUGUUCAACUAAUGCAGCUAUUCAACAAAUUAGCAUCUCGGUCGCCCAAGUAUAAGCCUGGGCUAGUGCAAUUCCUUCUAAAGCAAGCAGGAGUUGAUAAGAGAACUGGAGAUCUGUACGGGAACAGAGAU
rnacentral:misc_RNA from 1 species